rnacentral:rRNA from 1 species
GGUUGGUGGAGUGAUUUGUCUGGUUGAUUCCGAUAACGAACGAGACCUCAGCCUACUAAUUAGCCGGUGUUAUCUUUGGAUAAUAUCCGCGUUUUACUUCUUAGAGGGACUAUGUGCGAAUAGCACAUGGAAGUUUGAGGCAAGAACAGG